rnacentral:rRNA from 1 species
AUUGAACGCUGGCGGCAGGCUUAACACAUGCAAGUCGAGCGGGGUGAUGGUGCUUGCACUAUCACUUAGCGGCGGACGGGUGAGUAAUGCUUAGGAAUCUGCCUAUUAGUGGGGGACAACAUCUCGAAAGGGAUGCUGAUACCGCAUACGUCCUACGGGAGAAAGCAGGGGAUCACUUGUGACCUUGCGCUAAUAGAUGAGCCUAAGUCGGAUUAGCUAGUUGGUGGGGUAAAGGCCUACCAAGGCGACGAUCUGUAGCGGGUCUGAGAGGAUGAUCCGCCACACUGGGACUGAGAAACGGCCCAGACUCCUACGGGAGGCAGCAGUGGGGAAUAUUGGACAAUGGGGGGAACCCUGAUCCAGCCAUGCCGCGUGUGUGAAGAAGGCCUUAUGGUUGUAAAGCACUUUAAGCGAGGAGGAGGCUCUUUUGGUUAAUACCCAAGAUGAGUGGACGUUACUCGCAGAAUAAGCACCGGCUAACUCUGUGCCAGCAGCCGCCGUAA